AUCAUUUGUAAAGCCUUUUUGGGAUUUAAAAAAAGCACAGGUGUUACUAAUAACUUUAACAAUGUCAAUGUACAGUAAGCGAAGAGUGUAAGACAUUUCAAAAUGGCAGCCUGUUUCUUUGGUAAUUGGAGAGAGGUAGUCAUGGAUUCUGUGACUUCUGUCAUAUUCACAAUGUGUUUGUUUGUGCAGGACCCACAGGAGUUGGCUUGAAUGAACUCAAGAGGAAACUGUUGAUCUCAGACCCCCAGCACUUUAGUGUGACCAUCCCACACACCAGUCGGGCCAAGAAGAACCAGGAGAGCGACGGAGUGGAGUACCACUUCAUCUCCAGACAUCUCUUUGAGACGGAUAUCCACAAUAACAAGUUCAUUGAGUAUGGCGAGUACAAAGGGAAUUACUACGGAACAAGUCUAGACUCAAUACGCUCCGUCCUCGCCAAGAACAAAGUGUGCUUAUUGGAUGUCCAGCCUCAUGGGAACCUAAAGCACUGCGGACGGCAGAGUUUAAAACCCUUUAUAGUGUUGGUGAAGCCUCCUACAAUCGAGAGGUUGAGGGAGACAGACAGAACGGCAAAAUCCUAUCUGGCAAGGACGACAAGGGUUCUGCCAAGUCAUUCAUGGAGGAGGACUUUGAGGAGAUGGUGACCACUGCCCAGAUGCUGGAGACUCAACAUGGCCACCUGUUUGAGAAGAUCAUAGUCAACGACGACCUAUCGGUAGCCUUCAGCGAGCUGCGGUCGGCACUAAAGAAAGUGGAGACGGAGACUCACUGGGUUCCAGUCAGCUGGACUCACUCCUGAGAUCCACACAGACUGUAAAAGGAGAAAAGGGACAGGCUUUGACAAAGAUAUGCAGGUUUUUAAUCUUUUUUAUGUCUGCAGUGGCUCAUGUUGGGGGUCAGGGGGGAUAAAACAAGACAGCGCCAGACUGCUGUGUCGCCAUACCUGAGCUGCACAAGGCUAAAAAAUAGGCUUUUGCCAGGGAUCAGGGUUGGAUUUAGAGCUCAGAUGUGGUCGGAUGUGAAUCCAC